rnacentral:rRNA from 1 species
CCUACGGGUGGCAGCAGUGAGGAAUAUUGGUCAAUGGUCGGGAGACUGAACCAGCCAAGCCGCGUGAGGGAUGAAGGUACAGAGUAUCGUAAACCUCUUUUGUCAAGGAACAAAGGCGGGGACGUGUCCCCGGAUGAGUGUACCUGAAGAAAAAGCAUCGGCUAACUCCGUGCCAGCAGCCGGGGUAAUACGGAGGAUGCGGGCGUUAUCCGGCUUUAUUGGGGUUAACGGGUGCGCAGGCGGUCUGUUAAGUCAGCGGUCAAAGCCCGGGGCUCAACCCCGGCCCGCCGUUGAGACUGGCAGUCUCGAGUUGGAGAGAAGUAUGCGGAAUGCGCGGUGUAGCGGUGAAAUGCAUAGAUAUCGCGCAGAACUCCGAUUGCGAAGGCAGCAUACCGGCGCUCAACUGACGCUCAUGCACGAAAGUGUGGGUAUCGAACAGGAUUAGAUACCCUUGUAGUC